CGUCAUGCCGACGCGCUCGCUCGCUCGCAAAGCGAUCCGAGGCCGAGGCCCCGGCCCCGAGGUGUUGGACGGUGUUGGGGAGCCACGUUGACAGACAUAUGAGGAUUCCAGCGGCGAGAUAGGAUAUGCGUGCCGAUUACUAACUCGCGCGACCGAAAACUCUACACGACAGUUCCCAGUUCCUGCCAAAUUGCGCGCGUCAUGCGUCACUCACUGGUCACCUAGUUGACUAGUUCCCAUUUCCCAUUUCCUCCUUUCUCACAAUAAGACAAUGCCCCACGCGACAAUCGUCAAAGACCAAGCGACAUAUUUAAUAUGAUGAAAUAUGUACGCGAGAGAGAGGAAGCCUACUCGAGCCGGAAGCCGACGUUCUCGUGUUCGGUGAGUCUAGUCGGUGCGAUUAAUCUUUGAAAAUAAGAGUCGUCAUUUUGCAUCGCGAAAUAUAAUUAUUAACAA